rnacentral:rRNA from 1 species
GAUGAACGCUGGCGGCGUGCCUAAUACAUGCAAGUCGAGCGAACGGACGAGAAGCUUGCUUCUCUGAUGUUAGCGGCGGACGGGUGAGUAACACGUGGAUAACCUACCUAUAAGACUGGGAUAACUUCGGGAAACCGGAGCUAAUACCGGAUGAUAUUUUGAACCGCAUGGUUCAAAAGUGAAAGACGGUCUUGCUGUCACUUAUAGAUGGAUCCGCGCUGCAUUAGCUAGUUGGUAAGGUAACGGCUUACCAAGGCAACGAUGCAUAGCCGACCUGAGAGGGUGAUCGGCCACCCUGGAACUGAGCCACGGUCCAGACUCCUACGAGAGGCCGCAGUAGGGAAUCUUCCGCAAUGGGCGAAAGCCUGACGGAGCAACGCCGCGUGAGUGAUGAAGGUCUUCGGAUCGUAAAACUCUGUUAUUAGGGAAGAACAUAUGUGUAAGUAACUGUGCACAUCUUGACGGUACCUAAUCAGAAAGCCACGGCUAACUACGUG